AGCGAACGCUGGCGGCAUGCUUAACACAUGCAAGUCGCACGGGCAGCAAUGUCAGUGGCGGACGGGUGAGUAACGCGUAGGUAUCUAUCCUUGGGUGGGGGACAACUGUGGGAAACUACAGCUAAUACCGCAUGAUGACCGAGGUCUAAAGGCGCAAGUCGCCUGGGGGCGGAGCCUGCGUACGAUUAGCUUGUUGGUGGGGUAAAGGCCUACCAAGGCGACGACGUUAGCUGGUCUGAGAGGAUGAUCAGCCACAUUGGGGACUGAGACACGGCCCAAACUCCUACGGGAGGCAGCAGUGGGGAAUAUUGGACAAUGGGCGCAAGCCUGAUCCAGCAAU
rnacentral:rRNA from 1 species